rfam:Macrostomum lignano uti_cns_0048978, whole genome shotgun sequence.
UAUCUGGUUUGAUCCUGCCCAGUAGUCAUAUGCUUGUUCUCAAAGAUUAAGCCAUGCAUGCUCUAAGCUACAAACCUUAAUACGGUGAAACCGCCGAAUGGCCUCAUUAAAUCAGCUAUGGUUCCUUAGAUCGUCUCAUCCUACUCGGAUAACUGUGGCAAAAUCUAGAGCUAAUACGUGCUUACAAGCCCUGACCUCACGGGAGGGCGCAUUUAUUAGAUCAAAACCAAUCGGGCUUGCCCCGUCUGCCUUUGGUGACUCUGGAUAACUUUUGUGCUGGAUCGCCAUGGCCUCUGCGCUGGCGACGUAUCUUUCAAGUGUCUGCCCUAUCAACUUACGAUGGUAGGUGAUAUGCCUUACCAUGUUUAUAACGGGUAACGGCGGAAUCAGGGCUUCGAUUCCGCGAGAGGGAGCCUGAGAAAACGGCUACCACAUCUAAGGCAAGGCCAGCAGGCGCGCGCAAAUUACCCACUCCCGCGCACGGGGAGGUAGUGACGAAAAAUAACGAUACGGACUCUUUGAGGCCCCGUAAUUGGAAUGAGUACAACUUUUAAAUCCGUUAACAAGUAUCUAUUGGAGGGCAAGUCUCGGUGCCAGCCAGCCCGCCGGUUAAUUUCAGCUCCAAUAGCGUAUAUUAAUGUUUGCUGCCAGUUAAAAAGCUCGGUAGUUGGAUCUGAGACUCGAAUUGGUGGCUGCCACGCAUGACGGUGUUACUGCCGCACUUCGGCCUACCUAGUCGGUGCUCGCUCUUGGUGUUCUUAAUGAAUGCCCUGAGUGCCGGCAAGUUUACUUUUGAAAAAAUUAGCAGUGCUCAAAGCAAGGCCAUUUAGGCCUGGACAAUACUUCAGCAUGAAUAAUGGAAUUUAGGACUUCGGUUUCUAUCUUUUUGUUGCGUUUCGCGAACCGAGGUAAUUGAUUAAGAGAGACAGACCGCGGGGCAUUCGUACUGCGGCUGGGUGUUAGAGCGUGAAAUUCUUGGAUCGCCGCAACCGACGCAACAACUGCGAAAGCCAUUUGCAAGAAUGUUUUCAUUAAUCAAGAACCGAAAGUCAGACGGUUCGAAGCACGAUCACGAUACCGUUCCUAGUUCUGACCCAUAACGAUAUGCCAACUGCGCGAUCCGAGAUCGUUUGCGCUUAUUGACCUCUCUCGCGGCAGCUCCGGGAACACCAAAGUUUUUUAGGUUCCGGCGGGAAGAUCUGGUUGCCCAAAAGCUGGAACGUUAAAGGGCAAUUGACGGAGCGGAAGGGCGCCACCAGCGAGUGGGAGCCCUGCGGCGGACUUGGAAUUUGACUCAACACGGCGCAAAACUCACCCGCCCGCGACACUGCUUUAGCGCGAUUGACAGAUUGAGAGCUCUUUCUUGCGAUUCGGUGGUCGUGGCCCUGAGCUGCAUGGCCGUUCUUAGGUUUGGUGACCGAGCGAUUUGUCUGGUUAAUUCCGAUAACGAACGAGGACUCUAGCCUGCUAAAUAGUACGCCGCAUACCUUUUCGCGUCGGUGCUGACUUCUUAGAGGGACAAGCCGUCUUGAAGACGCACGAGAUUGCAGCAAUAAACAGGUCUGUGAUGCCCCUUAGAUGUUCGGUGGCCGCACGUGCGCGCUACACUGAAGGGGGACAGCGAGUUUUUCCUGGUUCGAAAGAACGGGUAAUCUGUUGAAUUCCCUUCGUGACAGCGGAUCGGGGCUUGCAAUUAUUCCCCGUGAACGAGAGAAUUCCCAGUUAAGCGCAAGUCAUCAGCUCUGCGCUUGAUUAACGUCCCUGCCCUUUGUACACACCGCCCGUCGCUACUACCGAUUGAAUGGUUUUUAGCAAGGUCCUCGGGAUUGGCUGCCGACUUUGCCGGUGGCAACACACUUAGGGUCGGAUACUGCAAAAGAAGAUCAAACCUUGAUCAUUUAGAGGAAGGUAAAAGUCGCUAACAAGGGUUUCCGUAGUGUGAACCUGCGGAAGGUCUCAUCA